rnacentral:lncRNA from 1 species
GCCCAGACCGAGGCACUGCUAUAUGCAUCAGUCACCUCCUUCCGUCCUCGCAGCGACCCUCACUCAGCCCGCGGUCACCACCAUUCCCAUUUAACAGACAGGCACAGAGAGGGCCGAGGCCCACAGCUGACAAACUGCGGCGCGGAGACCGGCGCCCUGGGCUGUCUGACACCGGGGCGCUCGCUGUCAGCCCGGCGAGAUCCCCAUCUCCUCUCUCCGGUCUCAAUCCACGCCCCCUUUUCCAAAUCCCGCGGCCAGCAGGGAAGGGAGAACCAGCUGAGCCGAGCAAGCGGCACCCAUCCCUCUCCCCAAAGUUUCAACGCCGGCGGGCCAGGGGGAGGGGGGGUGGGAGGAGAGCCGGCCGGGGGCUGGGAGGGGCUCCGGGCUGAGUGGGAGGGGAGAUCGCGGCGGGCAGGAGGGAAGGAGCGCGCGCGCGGCCGGGGCGGGAGGGGCGCAAAUGGAGGCAGGGGCCGAAGUUACCGUGUCCGCGGCGGCCGGGCGUCCAGAGCGGGUGUCCGUCUCGGUCCCUCGACGGCGAGGGUCUGGCGCCGCCCCAACGAAAGCGAAACUAAAAGGCCCGGAGCGGCAGGGGGCGGAGUCGCGCGGGGCAGUCUCCUCCCGCUCGCGCUAGUGCGCUCUCCGGAGUUGCUAGCGAGCCCAACGACCCGCUCCAACGCGCGAACCGUCGCGGGAGAGCGCCCCCUGCAGAACUGGUCGCCGGGUCUGCACCACGGUCGGCGCGCGUCGCCCGGGGGGAAGGCGCCCUGGCGAAGUUGGCCGCGCACCCGGAGAGCGUGCUGGGUAAAGCUGGCCGACAGCUCUACGACCCCGAAGCCGUGCUCACGGUCCCCGGGGAGAGCACCUUCUGCACCGCCAGCAGCACUCCAAGUGACCCGGGAACGCGCUCUGCAAACCUGCCCCGCGCAGAGCCCCAGCCGCGCACGCGGAAGAGCGCGCUCCGGGGACUUCGCGGCGCUCGACGCCCCAGUGCUCGCCAGGGGCGCCCCUCCUUCUCUCCUGCCGCUACUGUACCCCGUCUGCACCUCUACUCGGGCUUCCGCACCAGUAUCCAGUAUCAGGGACCCAGUCCCACAGCCAGAGGGCUUUUCCCCAGCCAGGCUCUCGACCCCAAUCUGUGCUGUGGGCGCCCCAACCCUGGGGAAGGGAGUGUGCUCGGCGCCCGCAGCAGCUGGUUACCUUCUCCGGGCCGGGCUUCUGGGGCCAGCCGUGGGGUUGCCGGUGGGCUUCCGGUGUCCACUCUUGGGGACGCCUCGGUUCGCGUGUGGACGGUAG